CAGGAGUGUGUCGGCUAUUUGUAACUGUGUUAACAGUGUCUGACAGAGGAGCACAUGGUGGCUAACAACAGCUGACUGUAGAAUUAUGGCGUGUGUACUACAUACAAACAGAGCUGAAAUGUGCUUAUAAAAAUCUUCACUUCGGUUCUGCUAAAUAAAGAAAAUCAUACACAUCUUGGAUGGAUUAAAGUAAAUUUCUCAGGCAGCCUGAAAUGACUGAGACAUCCAUGACUGACUAGGUGAUUCCAAACAAGUCAACAUAAUGAGAAUCUCGCCCACUUGACCUGCCCAAACUAGAAACAUGAUGUCGCACCACACAGACUGGGAGCAAAAGCCUCUGAACACCAUGAGGAUGCAUGUCCUACACGUUCCAUGUCAUUCCCAUUCUAGCCAAACAGAAAUUGAGUUUUUUUAACCAUUGAAAAUGGGUACAUUUUAAAAUAUUUUGGAUGGAGCCACA